rnacentral:rRNA from 1 species
AUGGGCACGUGCAACUUCUAUUUUGCUCGCCACCAGAGACCACCGCCUAGAUCCAUCUCUUCUCAACCAUGCCGACACGGUGGUCAAGGGCGCUUACAACCUGUGAGGACCUGCGUUCUCCUUCUCUCGAGCCUUCGUCGCGAUGAAGCCGUGGGAGGAGAGGGGCACGCGCAUGAUGGAUCUGCUCAAGCACCUCAAGCAGCGCAUCUUCAAGGUACAGCUGCCAUCAACAUAAAUGUGGCUAUGUUGGAAGAUGGUACAGAAAUGUUCAUGCCGCUCAAAGCUAUUUGCAUGAAGCACUAUUAUUAG